UGGGGAAUUUUGCACAAUGGGGGAAACCCUGAUGCAGCGACGCCGCGUGAUUUAGAAGGCCUUCGGGUUGUAAAAAUCUUUUCUAUGGGAAGAAAAUGACAGUACCAUAGGAAUAAGGACCGGCUAAUUACGUGCCAGCAGCCGCGGUAAUACGUAAGGUCCGAGCGUUUUCCGGAAUCAUUGGGCGUAAAGGGUACGUAGGCGGGUAAGCAAGUUAGAAGUGAAAUCCUAUAGCUCAACUAUAGUAAGCUUUUAAAACUGCUCAUCUUGAGGUAUGGAAGGGAAAGUGGAAUUCCUAGUGUAGCGGUGAAAUGCGCAGAUAUUAGGAGGAAUACCAGUGGCGAAGGCGACUUUCUGGCCAUAACCUGACGCUGAGGUACGAAAGGGUGGGUAGCAAACAGG
rnacentral:rRNA from 1 species